rnacentral:lncRNA from 1 species
CGGCGUCUGAUGUGCAUGCGAAGUAGAGGGUCUGCAUAUCCAGGCCUCCGUGAAGAUUUAUAUUUAGAUAAUUUGAGAUUUGAUCUUUGAUUCUAUUAUGAUUUAGGUAAGGAUUUGAUCCAUAAAUAAGUAAAAUAUUAGAAAAAAUAUUUAGAUGUAACCUGGGCAUUCUGGAGAAAAACUGUUCCCUUCCCUUCAACU